rnacentral:rRNA from 1 species
AUACGUAGGGGGCGAGCGUUGUCCGGAAUUACUGGGCGUAAAGGGCGCGUAGGCGGCCUGUCAAGUCUUGUGUGAAAACCCUAUUUUCAAGAUAGGAGGUGCACAGGAAACUGGCGGGCUUGAGUGCAGGAGAGGGAAGUGGAAUUCCAAGUGUAGCGGUGAAAUGCGUAGAUAUUAGGAGGAACACCAGUAGCGAAGGCGGCUUUCUGGACUGUAACUGACACUGAGGCACGAAAGCGUGGGGAGC